CAUCAACCCUGGCAGACAAGUGCCUCGCCUGGCAGGGUCAGCCAUGUUUACGGGGGUGUCAACCAGAGAUGGUCGUUGUUUGGGGUCUUCAAACGAUGCCAGACCGCGAGGCCGGCGGGGCAGAUGUUCAGGAGAGCUCAGGAAGAAGAGGAUUCACUGAGGUGUGUGUGCUGCUAAACUUCAGGAAACCCUCCUGAGGUGGAUUUCAUCUUUUCUCCCAGGAAAAUAGGCAGGAUGUAAACCGUUUUACAGGAGGGAAGGAUGACGAAUGAAGAGCGAGGGAGGAGG